rnacentral:rRNA from 1 species
AUACUUGGUGUGAAUUGCAGAAUUCAGUGAAUCAUCGAAUCUUUGAACGCACAUUGCGCCCGCCAGUAUUCUGGCGGGCAUGCCUGUUCGAGCGUCAUUACAACCCUCAGGCCCCCGGGCCUGGCGUUGGGGAUCGGCGGAGGGCCCCCCGUGGGCACACGCCGUCCCCCAAAUACAGUGGCGGUCCCGCCGCAGCUUCCAUCGCGUAGUAGCUUACACCUCGCGACUGGAGAGCGGCGCGGCCACGCCGUAAAACCCCCAACUCUUCUGAAGUUGACCUCGAAUCAGGUAGGAUUACCCGCUGAACUUAAGCAUAUCAAUAAGCGGAGGAA